UAGGGAAUCUUCGGCAAUGGACGGAAGUCUGACCGAGCAACGCCGCGUGAGUGAAGAAGGUUUUCGGAUCGUAAAGCUCUGUUGUUAGAGAAGAACGUUGGUAGGAGUGGAAAAUCUACCAAGUGACGGUAACUAACCAGAAAGGGACGGCUAACUACGUGCCAGCAGCCGCGGUAAUACGUAGGUCCCGAGCGUUUUCCGGAUUUAUUGGGCGUAAAGCGAGCGCAGGCGGUUCUUUAAGUCUGAAGUUAAAGGCAGUGGCUUAACCAUAGUACGCUUUGGAAACUGUUUAACUUGAGUGCAAGAGGGGAGAGUGGAAUUCCAUGUGUAGCGGUGAAAUGCGUAGAUAUAUGGAGGAACACCGGUGGCGAAAGCGGCUCUCUGGCUUGUAACUGACGCUGAGGCUCGAAAGCGUGGGGAGCAAACAGGAUUAGAUACCCUGGUAGUCCACGCCGUAAACGAUGAGUGCUAGGUGUUAGACCCUUUCCGGGGUUUAGUGCCGUAGCUAACGCAUUAAGCACUCCGCCUGGGGAGUACGACCGCAAGGUUG
rnacentral:rRNA from 1 species